ensembl:lncRNA
GUCCAUCCUGAGCAUAAUUUAUGACUUUAGUGGCUGUCUCUGUGAAAAAAGUAAUUCUGUCUGGAAGCAAAAACCACAUUAGAAAUGCUCUAAAUAAGAUUCUUUCUCUUGUCAGGAGAGCAGCGCCACGACCCUAAGCAGAGGUGAGGCCUCAACAGCUCCCAGGCACAACCUUAACACACAAUGGGGAAGGCAAUUCAUUUCAAGGUAGUUACCAAGGGCCACAACCUGAGACCAGCAUAGCCAUGAAAACUGCAAUAAUUUCACAACAGAAUGAAAUUCAUAAAGAACUGCUGAGAAGCAUGUGAUAAGUUACAUAAAUCACUGUUCCUUAAAUUCUGACGGUUGGCUAGAACAGAAAUAGCUUCAUGGUACAGUUCAAACGGGAGAAAGGUAGGUAGGGGUGGUUUCCACACCACACAGGGCCUGCAGGAAAGGGACACUCUUCCUCUAAACAGGAGAUCCUGGGAGUGAUGUGAUAAGCCAUGGUGAGAGGCACGGAACUGUGCAAGCCGGAGUCGGCCUUGCCCCACCACGGAGCCUGUGUCCAUGAGCGACGAGGCUCAAAUGUCAGGCCGGGGCAACCGAGGCAGUUAUCAGGGGACAAGAAAACGACGGUGGAGGCAAAGGUCUGAAACUGCGCGGCAACUUCGAGUCAAGUGGGACAAACUGACUCAAAAUACAGGUUCCAAAAACCACCACAGAGAGCUGUUCCUCGGCUCUGGAAAGGCUAAGUGACUAAUGCCCACACUGAGCAUCUGCUCCCAGAGACGACCCUGGUGACCUAAGGCUCAGCUCCUCCGAACCCACGCCGAACCUCAGUGAGGAACUUUGUUGGUAUCUUAAGGCACAUUGACAUGUUCCCUUAAAAUCUGGUAUUUCAUCAACAAUGCAGGCACCAGCUUUGACUCAUACACAUUUCGAUUAAACAAGAUAAUUUACACCCUGACCAUGCCAGGUAAGAGGUUUACUACAAUCUUUAAACAGAGCCAGAGGCUACAGUCUGCUCCUACACAACACCAUGUCUCUACAACUUCGAUGGGUUUUUACUUUCCAUGUCUUCACUUGCCUAGUGCUAGAAAGCAGAUUAAAAACAGAAGGAACCCCGAAACACUAUUGAAUGAGACUCAAAUAUCUUGCAGUCAUCAUUGUGAUGAGAUGUUUAUUAAACAGAAAUGUUCUCCCCUGUAGAAAGCAGCACACAUCAACACACACCGAUAACUGUCGCCAGCAUUCCAGAUCAUCUUCCCUUCCAUGGCCACAGUGCAGGACAAUGGACCACACACACCUGCAGACCCACGGAAAGCGGGGUGACACGGCCGAUUCUUGUAGCGAGCAGGCCAGGGUGCACUCAAAGUGCAUCUCUUUCCAGAGGUCCGCCAUGGAAAGUUAUACAUUUAUUCCAUGAGUUAAUGGCCCUGCACCAAACAUUUCUGUAAGAUUCUCUAAGCAAGCUUUUCCUUCUGCCUAAAAUGGCCCGACACAAACUGAAAAAGUUCUUGGAGCUGCCAAACACUUCAGUAUCCCCUUAACUAUUGUCAUGCACACCCGUGUGAAGAGACCACCAAACAGGCUUUGUGAGCGCAACAUGGCUGUUUAUUUCACCUGGGUGCAGGCGGGCUGAGUCCAAAGAGAGUCAGCGAAGGGAGGUAGGUGUGCGGCCGUGUCAUAGGAUUUGGACAGGUAAAGGAAAAUUACAGUCAAAGGGGGGUUGUUCUCUGGCGGGCAGGAGUGGGGGUCACAAGGUGCUCAGUGGGGAGCUUUUGAGCCAGGAUGAGCCAGGAAAAGGAAUUUCACAAAAAAAAAAAAAA